AAAAAAUUAAGUUAAUCAAACUAUCUUCCUUCAAAGAAGGAAAUAUAUUUAUAUUUUUUC
rnacentral:tRNA from 1 species